rnacentral:lncRNA from 1 species
AGGAGAGGAAAGGGGAGGAAAUAGGAGAGGGGGGAGAAGGGGAGAGGAGAGGGGGGAGAAGAGGAGAGGAAAGACUAGAGGGGGAGAAGGGGAGAAGGGGAGAAGAGGAGAGGGGGAGAAAAGAGGAGAGAGAGAAGAGGAGGAUGGGAGAAGGGGAGAGGAGGUACUGUUUGUCUCCGACCGUUCCACUCAGAGGACUCUACCUUCUGUUAUCAAUCCUGCGUCUGUGACACCAGAUUGCCACCUAGUGGCCAUAAGAGGAACUGUCCUGUCAGUGUGUUUUCACUGCUGGCUCAAAACAACACAUGACCUGCAUACAUGAUAUGACUCGUACUACUGCACUACUUCUGAAGAAGACCAGAGUCAUUUCAGAAUGAAGACUGCUAUAGUUCUGAUGGUGUUGCUGUUCUGUCUGUCUGGGGCCUGGACUCAGGGAGAGAGUGGAGGGGUGACUAGUAGGAGAAUAUCACCUGUGAUGCUGUCUGGUCCAGGAGAAUAUCACCUGUGAUGCUGUCUUUGUCCAGGAGAAUAUCACCUGUGAUGCUGUCUGGUCCAGGAG